CUCAUGUCCAUCACAAAGCAUGCAUAAUCAUAUCCACAAACCAUUCAUGAAGCAUUAUUAACUAUUUACCAAUCACUUAAUCCUGCAUUAGUUAUUAGCUCAUCAAUGAAUCUCAAUUCAAUCUCUAGGCAUACAUGUUGUACGCCACAUCAUAAGAGAUAAUAACAUACAUGCAUAAGAAUAAUCAUAUGGGCCCAUAACGAUAUUAGCCGACAUAGGCCAAUUUACAUGACUAAUACUACCUUAAUAACAAGCCAAUGCCUUUGGCUAAAUCAUAAUGUUACAUACUCACAUUAAAACCCUAUACAUGUUAUAGACUAGAAUCACUUGAGUUUACUUACGCCGAUAGCGUUAACUCGACAGUGUGAUAAUAUCUCUGACGGCCUCCAACCCGAGCUAAUCUGGAAACUCUAGAAAACAUGGGAAAGAAGAGGGGGUAAGCUUUCGCUUAGUAAGUUCAUAUGAAAACAAUAAGCAACUCAUUAACUUGUUUUUAUCAAUGUUUACAACAUAUUCUCAAGUUCACUACAAGCCGUCUUUCUGAGCAACGGUCACUAAAUUAUUUAUAUCUGGAGCUACGAAACUCUGAAUUAAGUUCUGUUAAUUUUCCCUAAAACUAGACUUAUUUUCCUUUCUUCCAUAAAAUUUCUAGAAUUUUUUGUUAAGCCAAAUAGUAUAGUUUAUUCCUCAAAGUUACCCCUGAUUCACUGUCUGACAGUUCCGACCUCAAUUAUCUCAUAGUACAAGACUCGAAUAAUGUUCUCGUCUAUUUCUCUUGAAACUAGACUCAUAUUUCUACUUAAUAAUUUUUUUCUAGAAUUUUUGGUUGGGCCAAUUAGUACAGUUUAUUAAUUAAAGUCUCCCCUAUUUCAGGGUAUGACCACUUUGACCCCUGUGCACUACAAACCGAAUUUCUCCCUGUACAAAAUUCCAACGACCAUACCAUUUAUUUCUCCUAAAAAUAGACUCAAUAAGGAAUCCAUGCAUGUAAGGUAUGACUCUUAAUAAUUUUUGUACAAUUUUUGGUGAAUUUCUAAAGUCAGAAAAGGGGACCUCUAAUUUAUUCAGACCCUGUUUCACAAGAAUUCAAAUAUCACACAAUAUGGAAUUCUUUUUCUUCCCCUGUUUCUUUCAUGUGAAAAUAGACUCAUUAAUCUUUAAUCCCAUAUUUUAUUCUGUCUCUAACUCAUUUUCCACUAUUUUUAGUGUAUUUUAAAAGUUACACUACUGCAGUAACUCAAAUCUAUCAAGGCUAAAUUACUCAUUCAUGAUCAUUGUUCACAAAAUUAAUACAACAUCGUUUGUAUAAUCAUCACCGAGACAUUCAUAUCACAUUUUCAUUUACCAUCUUACCAUAUUGUUGUUAUGUCGAGUUUUCAACCCGAGGGUUAAGUACAUACCUGUUCAAAGUAUCCAUUUCACAACCUUUACCAAUACGUCCCUUUCAUCUCGAGUAUUCCUCCAUUUGAGUAGAAUUUUACCCGUUGAACACAUCGGAAUAUAAUUCGGAUACAUGGAAAGUUUGCACAUAAGUGCCACAUAUGUAGCCAAGCUACCAUGUAACCCGCCCAUAAGUGAACUCGGACUCAACUCAACGAGCUCGGGCGUUCGCAUCCAUAAGUGAACUCUGACUCAACUCAACGAGCUCGGAUGCCUAGUUACAUCUCACGAACUCGAACUCAACUCAACGAGUUCGGAUGCUCAACCAUCCUAGUGACAUGUCACUUGUAUCCUAAUCUAUUCCUAAGGUUCAAACGGGAUUUUCCUCGAACACAUAUCCUUGCCAUCUUCCGUAAAAUACCGAAACCAAUACUCGGUAGCACUUUAUAUUUAACAGAUAAUACACAUAACUUGCAUUUUAUUCGAAAAUAACCACAAAGCAUAUAUUUCAUGAUAAAAAUCAACAUAUCAUAUAUUUAACAUCAAUAACUUAAAAAUAACAAUUAUGCUACAUUAUUUACACAUGAACUUACCUCGAUACUACAAAGGUGAAAAAAAAAAGACGUAAUUAUCCCUUAAUCGAUUUCUUUCUGUUCUAGGUCCAAAUCUCGAUUUUCAUCAUCUAAAAUAUCACAUUCAACUUAUUAAAACAAUGUACUGAUCAAAUUAGUCCAUUGACACACUUGGGCAAUUUUUUACAAUUUUUCCCUUAUAUUUUGCCAAAAUUACCAAAUUAACCCUAGGCUCGUAAAAUAAUUUUUAUCACAUUUCUUUACUCCUUGAGUCUAAAUGAACCGUUUUCAUAACUAUAGCAACUCAUAAUUUCAACUAGUUCACACAUUUACAACUCAUUUUACAACUUAGCAAUCUAGCCCUUUUUAAGGUGUUUUCAUGUAAUUUCUUUCACAAAAGUUGUUUAUUAGACAACUAGGACUCAUAAUCUUCCAUAAAAACACAGCAAACAACACAUUUACUCUCAUGGCAAAACCCUAGACUCUUCAUCAUUUUGCAAAAUAGUCCCCUCUUAUGAAAGCUCAUGCUUUAGGGGUUCCAAAAAUGUAAAAAUCAUCAAGCAAAGACAUUAAAAUCACUUACAAGCAAGGGAAAUAUGUUGCUGAAAUUUUCCAGCUUCAAAGCCCUUUCUUUGCUGCAUAUUUUGGUGAAGGAGAAGAGAAAAAUGAUAGCUUUUUCUUUUUGAUUUGUUAAUAAUAAAACUAGUCAAAAUUGGUGACCAAAUUUCACCUAAUUUUGACUUUUCAACAAUUUUGUCUCCCAUGGCCGGCCAUCACACUUUCAAUGGCCUAAUUUCACUUUAAAUACCCCCAAUUUAAGAUACAAGUCAAUUUAACACCUUUAGGUAUUAAAACACAACUUUUACCUUUUACGCGAUUUAGUCCUUUUUCAAAAUUGGACUAGAAAUUGCUAAAAUUAACUUACCAAAAUUUACAUGCACUUAUAAAAUUAUAUUAUAACACAUAAAAUAAUAUUAAAAUAAUUUUCUCUAGCCUCGAAAUAGUGGUCCCGAAACCACUGUUUCGACUAGGCCCAAAAUCGGGCUGUUACAAGAAAUAUACUAUAUAUAUAUUAUUUAAAAUAUACAUGAAGUGAUAAAAACAUAUAUAAGUAACUAGUAAUGUUAAAGUAUAUACAUAAUAUAUACAUAUAUAUGUAUAAAAUGAAUAUUGAAAAUGUAUGUACAUAGCAUAUAUGAAAAAUACAAUAUAGUAUUCGUAUGAAAUGUAGAAAUACAAUAUUAAAAUGUAAGCACACGUAAUACAUAAAAAAUACAUAUAUAAUAUGUCACUAAAAUUGUAACACCCCUUACCCGAGACCGUUGCCGGAAUCGAGUACGAGGCAUUACUUAGCUUAUCUUACUAAUUCGGGGCAUAAAAAUUCGUUUUAAAAAUUAAUUUCACUGUUUACAGUAAUCUGUCCAAUCGCGCAGAAGUUACUAAAUUGAUUAUAACUCGAGAUACGGAACUCCAAAUUUAAUUUCGUAAAUUUUCCCUGAAACUAGACUCAUAUAUAUACUCACCAUAAAAUUUUUAGAAUUUUUGGUUCAGCAAAUUAGUACAGUUUAUUAGUUAAAGUCUCCCCUGUGUCACCACCAGACUGCCCUGACUUCUAGUCACUAAAAAUAAGUUUUCUCACUAUAGGAUUUUCAUAUGAAGUUUUUACUUGUUUCUAUAGAAAAUAGACUCAUUAAGGAAUCUAAGCAUGUAAAUUUCAACUCAUAACCAUUUUUGUACAAUUUGUAAUUAUUUUCUAAACUCAGAACAGGGGACUCCAAAAACAGUUCUGACCCUAUCUUACUAAAAUUCACAUAUCUUAAAAUAUAAAUUUCUUUUCUCUACACCGUUAUUUUUUCAUGAAAAUAGACUCAACAAUAUUUAAUUCCAUAUAUCAUUCACCCUCUAAUUCAUUUUAUACUAUCUUGGGUGAUUUUUCAAAUUCACGUCGCUAUUGCUGCCUGAAUUCUGUUUCUUUGCAAAAUUUUACCAUUUUAUGACUUUCAUACCUAAUUUAUCACUUAGACUUUUAUAACAAUAAUUAACUUCAUCCUUGACCAUUUAAACAACCAUUCAUCAUCAAAUACUUACACAUCAUUCUAUAGUAAAAUCAUAUUUACAAAUAUACAAAAUUACUAAAUUCCUAUACAUGCCAUAACUAAAAGAAAUGUUCACCAC
rnacentral:lncRNA from 1 species